rnacentral:rRNA from 1 species
UACGUAGGGGCCGAGCGUUGUCCGGAGUUAUUGGGCGUAAAGCGCGCGCAGGCGGCUUUUCAAGUGACGGGUGAAAUCCCUCGGCUUAACCGAGGAACUGCCUGUCAGACUGGAAGGCUUGAGACCGGGAGAGGUGAGUGGAAUUCCCAGUGUAGCGGUGAAAUGCGUAGAUAUUGGGAGGAACACCAGUGGCGAAGGCGGCUCACUGGACCGGAACUGACGCUGAGGCGCGAAAGCGUGGGGAGCAAACAGG